UACGUAGGGUGCGAGCGUUAAUCGGAAUUACUGGGCGUAAAGCGUGCGCAGGCGGUUUGUUAAGUCAGAUGUGAAAGCCCCGGGCUCAACCUGGGAAUGGCAUUUGAAACUGGCAAGCUUGAGUAUGGCAGAGGGGGGUGGAAUUCCGCGUGUAGCAGUGAAAUGCGUAGAGAUGCGGAGGAACACCGAUGGCGAAGGCAGCCCCCUGGGCCAAUACUGACGCUCAGGCACGAAAGCGUGGGGAGCAAACAGG
rnacentral:rRNA from 1 species